rnacentral:ncRNA from 2 species
ACCUUUGUACACGUAAACGGUUUCCGCGUUGCCCGACGCAACAAGGAAUGAAAAUGGGAAUCCGGUGCAAGUCCGGAACUAUCCCCGUAGCUGUAAGUUCCGCCAUAUGUGGACGGCGCUAUCUAUGGCCACUGCUCCCGUCAGCGACGGAGCGGGAAGGCGCGACGUCCGGAACAAGUCAGAAGACCUGCCGUGAUACACGAAAUAAG